AAAGCAACAAAGUAUGAAAAAAGAAAGCCCUAAUCCCAUUCACCGAGCAUUCUCUAUUAUCAAAACAGAGUCCAUUACUCUCAUUCCAAAUACACCACGUAAGACAAAGAGGAAUCAUCUUCCAAACAGCCACUAUUUGACAAUUUCCUUGAAUCCCUCUCCAACAGGCCAAAAGAUUCCCUACACUCUUAGGCAUCACCCAAGAAAUGCCAGACUUGACAAAGACCUCAUCCCACAAAGCCCUCGACACAUCACAAUGAAGAAGAAGCUAACAAUCUUUUU